AAUAAUGUUAUUCCACCUACCAGUGCCACAAUGGGAUCCCUAUAUCAAGAGCAUCAUGAGGAGGACUUCUUUCUGUAUAUCGCCUACAGUGAUGAAAGUGUGUACGGUGCAUAAAUAUCUUCUGUGAUUGGAUUGCGAAUUGGACUAUGGAACGGAUCAUUAAACUAUGAAAACAACAUGAAAUAUUUUGCAAUGUCUUAUUUGGCAUCAUCUGUCGAGAUAAUUACAGCAUGUCACUUGUUGUUUGCUUUUAUUUGUACAUUGUAUUGAAAUAUUAUAAAGGUAAAUUUAUUGUGACACCAACAGGUGAAAGAUUUAUCGUGAUUAUAGAUAGCAACUUUAAGCUGAUUGUUGAUACAGCAAAAAAAAAGAUAAAAAGAAAAAUAAACCCAAAAAUAAAAUUUGAAUUUUUAUUUAUAGUUAUAUAGAUCCUCUGAUCUAAAUUUUUGAGCAUUCUACUCCUAACUUUUGGGAAACAAUUUUUCUAUCUUUAAUCUGGUGUAUGUUUACAUGUUCAUUUAUGUUGAAUAAUCUUUAUCAUGUAAAUGGUUAUUAAUAAACUUUUUUUAAAAAAUAC
rnacentral:misc_RNA from 1 species